rnacentral:pre_miRNA from 1 species
UCUUGUGGAUGAGAAAAGAAAGUGGUUUUUGCGAUGAAAUCUACUUCUAGUGAAGAUGCUGUGAA